rnacentral:lncRNA from 1 species
AUGUUUGCAAACCCUUGCAAGUUAUGUCAUUUAGCCUUAACUCACUUAUUUUUUAUGGUUAAAUCUGACCUAGUGGAUCCCACAUCAAGGUAUUUUGGUCAUUUUACUCUUUUUUCUACUAAAAUAAACAAUUAUAAAAAUAAUAAAUAAAAGAAUAUUGUUUAUAUAAAGUUAUAUAUAUAUAUAUAUAUAUAUAUAUACACACACACAGCAGCAUCUAUGAUGUCGAUCUCUGUAUCUUUGACAUAAUUGGUUGAUGCAAAUGAACCAUAAAUUGUUGUUAAACUAUUAAUUUGUAUUCUAUUACACGAAUGAACACUCAAAAUAACAAGCAAACCUAAAUCAAAAAACCCAUACAUUCACCUAUGAUGCAGGUUUGAACUGCUCUGCCUGAAGCUUUUUCACUUCUAAAGCAAAUACACACUCGCCAACACCUCCCAUAGCAAUGGACUGGAUUAUACAGUAAAAUUCAUACAAAUUCUGCAUCAACAAUCAUAAAACCUACCUGACCGCCAUGAGGAGAGGUUUUAAGACGAGCAGUGAAAAUGCCGGCAAUGGAGAACUUGGAGCGUGUUCGAGUGCGAAUUCAAGUCUGGAGUCAGAUUCAUAAUCUGUUGACCUCUUUCUGGUAGAACGAGAUGGGAUCUGAGGUGAUGGUGAUGAUGGAUGGCCUAGUGUUUUCUCACUCUGUUCCUCUUAAUUGGGUUACGAUGUACAAUUCUGUUUGCGGCCACUAUCAAUAUCCCAACCUCCGACCAAGAUCUAGCUGCAAUUUUACAGAUCUGAUCCGUCCUUAUCAACCUCAACUCUCAUCCACCGCCUCAAUCGAACAAGAAAAGGAAAAGGGCGAAAGAGAGAUGUUAAGGCAGUGGUGGUGCUUACAGCGGUGGUCGGCCGGUGGUGCUCGGCUGGCGGUUGGUGGUGACGAUGGAUAGUAGGGGGAAAAGAGAAGUAUUCAGAGAGAUCAGAUCUGAAUGUUUUUGCAAGAAAGGGUACAUGAAAGUGACUGACCAUCAUACCU